GUAGGGUGCGAGCGUUAAUCGGAAUUACUGGGCGUAAAGCGUGCGCAGGCGGUUAUGUAAGACAGAUGUGAAAUCCCCGGGCUCAACCUGGGAACUGCAUUUGUGACUGCAUGGCUAGAGUACGGUAGAGGGGGAUGGAAUUCCGCGUGUAGCAGUGAAAUGCGUAGAUAUGCGGAGGAACACCGAUGGCGAAGGCAAUCCCCUGGACCUGUACUGACGCUCAUGCACGAAAGCGUGGGGAGCAAACAGGAUUAGAUACCCUGGUAGUCCCACGCCCCUAAACGAUGUCAACUGGUUGUUGGGAAUUAGUUUUCUCAGUAACGAAGCUAACGCGUGAAGUUGACCGCCUGGGAGUACGGCCGCAAGGUUA
rnacentral:rRNA from 1 species